rnacentral:misc_RNA from 1 species
UACACCCCUCAAGCCCUCGUGGCUUGGUGUUGGGGCACUAGGGAAACCUAGGCCCUCAAAAAUAUUGCGCGGUCCGCGCGUUCAGGACCCGAGCACAGUAACUUUGGUUAAAGCUGCUAUGGGACACUGCGCGAUGGUGCUAGCCGUAAAAACCCCGACAUAGGCCCUUUGGGCCGCCUAA